UCCACGGCCACACCACCCUGAAUGCGCCCCAUCUUGUCUGAUCUCGGAAGCUACGCAGAGUCGGGCCUGGUUAGCACUGGGAUGGGAAAACAUGUUUUUUGAGCCGGGUGUGGGAGGGU
rnacentral:rRNA from 1 species